UUGAUGAAAAAUUUGAUACAUGUGACGCUACUUCAACAGUUAUAGAAAACUUGGUAAAACACAGGGAUACUGACCCAAAGUCAGUACACUGCUGGAGACAUACAACGUGAUAUGUUGAAUUAUUAUGGCGUCGCCAUGAACUACAAGCAAGCGUGGAGAACAAAGGAAAAGGCUCUUGAAAAUUUGAGAGGAAAUUAAACCCAGGUAGUGGGAAGUUACUGAAAUAUCUUUAUAUGUUGGAGGUAACAAAUCUAGGAUCUGUUACUAAGCUGCACAAGUCGGAAGAUAAAUGCUUCAUGUAUCUAUUUGUUGCACUUUAUGCAACAAUUAAAGGAUUGCGGUAUUGUUGGCCUAUUCUAGUAGUUGAUAGGACUUUCCUGAAAAUAUCAUACAGAGGAACCUUAAUCACAGCUUGCAUGCAAGAUGCAUCAGAAUAUUCAGGGAUACAUAUGGCCUUAGGGAUAACAUGUGCAUAGUGUCAGAUAGGCAUGAGAGUAUCGCAAAGGCAUCUUCUACUAUCUACCUAGACGUACCCCAUUAUUUCUGUAUUUUCACCUCUGGAACAACUUUAAGGCGAAAUUCAAGAAGAGUCAUAACCAACUUGCGCAAAUAUUCUUCAAAAUGGCCAAAUCAUACACAAUCGACAAGUUCAAUUACCAAAUGGCAGAGAUUGGAACAAUUGAUAAGAGGGUUCCGGAAUAUCUAUUUGAUGUUCGAUACGACAAAUGAUCAAGAGCACAUUCAAAAGUUAACAGAACAACAAUAAUGAUAUCUAACAUUGCUAAAUCUAUGAUUUCAGCUAAUAAGUCUGCAAGAGAUCUCCCAGUAACUCCGUUACUAGAUUUCAUGAUAAAUUUGAUUAAGGAUUGGAACUACAGUAACAAAAAGCUCGCAACAGAAAUAUUUAUAAAGGUUGGACAGAAGUAUGAAGAUACGUUGGAAGAAAACUUUAUUUCUGCACGGAAGAUGAUGGUAAAGUCAUCAAAUAAUUUGUUCUAUACAGUAUAUGAUGGAGGUAGCAGAUAUGUUGUCAGUAUGGAGGAAAGAAAGUGCAAAGGAUUUCUAUUGGAUGAAUUUCCAUGUCCGCAUUCUUUGGCAAUUAUUAAGAAAUUCAAUAUGGAACCAUGUCAAUACUACUCAGUAUACUACAAAAAGGAGUACUUGAUUACGACUUAUGAAGAAUCAGUGCAUCACAUACCUAAUAAAACUACAUGAGAGAUCCCUACAGAAAUCUCAGAGUAUGAUCUGCUACCACCCAAGGGGAAGAUCAAACCGAGAAGGCCACAGAAAUCGAGAUACAAAAAAUCUCAUGAAAAAAAUCCAAGAGAUCAAAAGUGGAAUAUGUAGACAAGAGGGUCACAACCGUAAAACGUGCAGGAAUCCUUCAAAGAGCACUUAACAUAUAUUUAAUGUCUUAGAAAUUUGCAUAGUGUCAAAUUGUUUCAUUGGAUUACUGUAAUAAUGUUACUCAUA